rnacentral:rRNA from 1 species
AUUGAACGCUGGCGGCAGGCCUAACACAUGCAAGUCGAGCGAGCGGCGGACGGGUGAGUAAUGUAUGGGGACUGCCCGAUAGAGGGGGAUAACUACUGGAAACGGUAGCUAAUACCGCAUACUAUCGGAUAACCCAUAUGGGAUUAGCUAGUAGGUGGGGUAAUGGCUCACCUAGGGGACGCUCCGUAGCUGGACUGAGAGGAUGAUCAUCAACACUGUGACGGAGACACGGCCCAGACUACCAGGGAGGCAGCAGUGGGGAAUAUUGCAAAAUGGGCGCAAGCCUGAUGCAGCCAUGCCGCGUGUAUGAAGAAGGCCCUAGGGUUGUAAAGUACUUUCAGUCGGGAGGCGUUACCGACAGAAGAAGCACCGGCUAACUCCGUGCCAGCAGCCGCGGUAAUAC